CCUGUGUUGAAAAAGCGUGUCCACCCCGCUCCCCCUUUUUCACUUUUCCUGCCAGCAGAGUGGGUUGCUUACUGCAGCUAAUGGCGCCUUGAGGUGCACCCACCUCUGGGUGCGGGGUGCCUCCUCUCCUGCUCCUCCGUGUGCCCCUGGCUUUCCUCCCGCCUGAAACCACCCCGCAGAGCUUGCCAGCACGGUGGUGGAUGAUGAAAUCUCUGUGUAACGCUAUGAUUUGACCAAAAUAGAGCUAACUGCCCUUCUCAUCGUUUUCCCCCAGGGACUUCUGGGCUGGGUGCUGCUGAGAUUUAGGAAGUUGCCGCUGCGCCUGUAAUGCUAGCAGAGAUUUAGAGAUGCAGGGCUGAAACCCUUUCCAGACCUAGGAGUCAGUGGAGAACCUGGAUUUCACAGUCCUCCUCUGCUUGCUCUGGAUCCCGGUCAGCAUCAACGUUGGGAGAGGUGCAUAACACAGGUAUGGUUCUAAUUGCCGUUGUAUUUCACCGACUGAUGACCCCGAUGUACAAAUCUCGUAGGAUUCUGUGAGAAUACACAAUGAUACGAAUUAGCUUGAAGGAAGAUAUUUUGAAAUGGAUCCUAUUAAUACUUGUAUAGAAGACUUCUGAUCUACAGACCUCAAAGCCCCUUUCAAAGGAGAUAUGAAGCGCUUAGAUUUCCAAACUGAUGGAGUAGGAGAGUGAGAAGAGCAAAAGAGAAGAAAAAAAUGAAGAGGAAAGCGAAAAAUCAGUGGGAGACCGUCACUGAGUUUGAUGGCAAGACGACCAGGCAUAAUAGGAAGACACUGAAGGCAGAGGAAUGUGGCCACCAGCUAUAAUUGACUUAUAAAAUGCCAAGGUUCCUGAUGAUUCGCAUACAAACCUUUACAAAAUUGGGUCCAGAACCAACUUUUCAGAAGAGCUUGCAAGGCUCCAGGAAGGAAGCCCAGAGGAAGGCAAUUCAGUUGCUGGUACGGCUGACAGGAUUGAUUGGAUCUUCGCGUAAAUUCAGUUAAAGCACUGUGGAAGAAGUAUUUUUGGCACCUUUGUGAGCAAGUCUGGAGUAGAAAAGCAGCUCUAUAGGCCUAAGUGAUAAUAAUGAGGAGAGGCAAUCCUGCGGUCCAGGAUAGAGAGGGCUACGCUGCUAAUCUGGAGGCACUUCACGUUUCUGUUGUCCAGAAGAAGGUACAUAUUCCUGUAGAAACCUGGCUGAAACCAGGAGAUCUGCUUGUCAAGGGAGUAAGAUCCUGCAACUGGUCAGCUGGUGGGAGGUACCUUGCUCCUCUGGAAGGCAGUGGCUCUUGCUGAGCUCAGAACUCAGUUUGAACCAGGAGCUGACAGCUGCUGCCUCUCACAAGCACCUCUCUUGAAGAUGCUGUGGCUCCCAGCUCCUUCCUAACAACAUGCUGUUCCUGUCUGCCCGCUUGCCAUCUUGGAUGUCCUGCACUGCUGAUCUGUCUUCUAAACGAUGCGUAAAGGCCCUCCAAUAACAUCAAUACAACAGGGCAGUGAAUCAAAUCAUGCGCAUAAAAAUGCUGAAUACUUCUAGCUUGAAAACUGCCAAACAGAUGUUCCUUGUUUUGGACUCAAAACCGUUCAAGUUUAAAUACAAAAAGAACUGAGCCAAGUGUGAGUGCUUCAGGCUCAAAAAAAUAUUGGAACCAAUGAGGAGUGGUAACCUUGUUUUGUUCUCGCACCAGUGUGCCAAUUCUGUUUAAAGUGCUUUCCCUAAAUUCGCUUCUGUGCUGGGACGGUGUAUGAAAAUCUACAGUUCCAAAGACAUCCUUUUGCAAAAGUUACGGAACAAGUGGAGAGGUUAAGUGGGGAUCACAGUAAAAGCUGGAAUUCAACUUAAAAAAACAAAUGCACCUGAGCCACGUUUAUCUGCCAUGUGUAGUGCAUACUUUUUCAAACACUGUACAGAGUCCUGAUACUUCUUUUUUAAAAGGAUUCUUCAUCUGAAUGUAACUUGAAAUCCUUUCUUUGCCUCAAUUAUAUUGUAAAGUUGACAUAAAUCCACUAGAUUGUGUUAAAUCUUGACAAAUGUUUGCUUAAAUUUCAAUUUUGCCUUUUGUAGAAUCUCCUUAUAUGACAACAACAUGCCAUAUAUGUGA